GCGAGGGUUGCCGAGCCAGGUCAAAGGCGCAGGGUUGAGGGCCCUGUCACGUAGGUGUUCGCCGGUUCGAAUCCGGUCCCUCGCA
rnacentral:tRNA from 1 species